GAAAACAGAUGUCUAAAAUGCUUUAUUGGUUUCUAAUGAGAGAUUCAAAAUUCUUAACCCGAUAUUAUAUUUCUCUCAUGAUCUGACACCUCAGUUUUUUUAGCUCUUUUGAAUCUCACAUAUAAGCUUUUUAUCUUCCAAUAAGAAGAUUUCAUUAAUAAAAUUCAGCUUUAAUUUUUUCCAACAUUUAUUUCUGAAUAAAAACAUGAAAGUCAGAGAGAUCGAGAUUGAAAUUUAAAGAAGACGGAGCAGGAGAUGAUCGCAGAUGGAGCAGAAGAUGAAGAGAAAUGGCUCGCCGUGAGUGAUGCUGCAACUUGUUGACAUAAAGACUAUCUUCACCGUUGCAUGUAUUUGAGGUAGCAAUUUUGAUAUACAAUGUCAGGGAUUCCAUUCAAUGCCUCAAGACAAGCCGAUCACCUGAGCAGAAUUGUGAAAACUGUUUGUUUCAUCUCUUGAAGAGAGAAUCCGUAUCCACCAACUUCUUCUUGUGGCAACUCGCUUAUACCAAGCUCCUUUUCUUUCCGGUGCUUUGACCGAUUUUACGAUAAGUUUCUAGAUGUCCUGACUUCGUACUAGCGCAGGGAAAGACGAAAAGGCUUCGGUUUUGAUCCACAAUCGAUCCCAUGAGAGUAACUAUUCUCGAUAUGAGCUGUUCUGUGAGAAAUCAAGUUUUGUUCUUUCUAAGGCGUAACCCAACAGCUAGCUGAAGAGAGUAAACUGGUUUCAGCCCCCUUCUAAAAAGAAAAUAUAUAUUAUUUCUUGUGGGUUUUGGCUCAUGUUCUGUUGAUUUCAUUAUUGAUGCUUAAUGCUUUCACUUUUCUUUCUAAGUGGUGGAAUUGAAGCUUCCUUCAAAAAACAAUACUCUUAUAAGUAAGUAAUAUUUCACUAUUGCUUUAA